rnacentral:rRNA from 1 species
UACGUAGGGGGCAAGCGUUGUCCGGAUUUAUGGGGCGUAAAGAGCGUGUAGGCGGCCAUACAGGUCAGCUGUGAAAACUCGAGGCUCAACCUCGAGACGUCGGUUGAAACCGUUUGGCUAGAGUCCGGAAGAGGAGAGUGGAAUUCCCGGUGUAGCGGUGAAAUGCGCAGAUAUCGGGAAGAACACCCGUGGCGAAGGCGGCUCUCUGGGACGGUACUGACGCUGAGACGCGAAAGCGUGGGGAGCGAACAGG